rnacentral:ncRNA from 1 species
CCCAGAGACGAGUAAGGGCGUAUCAAGGGACAAAAUGCUUCGGGGAGUUGAAAAUAAGCAUAGAUCUUGAGAUUCCAAAAUAGAUGAACCUUUUGAAUUACGUGUUCAGUCCAUGCAUGAGCAGGCAAGAGACAACCUGGAGAACUGAAACAUCUUAAUAGCCAGAGGACAAGAAAGCAAAAGCGAUACCAGUUGUAGCGUUGAGCGAAAUAGGAGCAGCCUAAACCAUAAAAAUUGAAAGCAUAGGGCUUCUAAUAACUAUUGGG